UACGUAGGGGGCUAGCGUUGUCCGGAUUUAUUGGGCGUAAAGAGCGUGUAGGCGGCCAGGUAGGUCUGGUGUGAAAACUCGAGGCUUAACCUCGAGAUGUCAUCGGAAACCAUCUGGCUAGAGUCCGGAAGAGGAGAGUGGAAUUCCUGGUGUAGCGGUGAAAUGCGCAGAUAUCAGGAGGAACACCAAUGGCGAAAGCAGCUCUCUGGGACGGUACUGACGCUGAGACGCGAAAGCGUGGGGAGCGAACAGG
rnacentral:rRNA from 1 species